AUUGAACGCUGGCGGCAUGCCUAACACAUGCAAGUCGAACGAGUGGCGGACGGGUGAGUAAUGUCUGGGAAACUGCCUGAUGGCGGGGGAUAACUACUGGAAACGGUAGCUAAUACCGCAUACCAUCAGAUGUGCCCAGAUGGGAUUAGCUAGUUGGUGGGGUAAAGGCUCACCAAGGCGACGAUCCCUAGCUGGUCUGAGAGGAUGACCAGCCACACUGGAACUGAGACACGGGCCAGACUCCUACGGGAGGCAGCAGUAGGGAAUAUUACGCAAUGGGCGAAAGCCUGACACAGCCACGCCGCGUGAAUGAAGAAGGCCUUCGGAUUGUAAAGCACUGUCAUUAGGGAAGCGGUACCCGCAGAAGAAGCAACGGCUAACUACGUGCCAGCAGCCGCGGUAAUAC
rnacentral:rRNA from 1 species